UACAGAGGGUGCGAGCGUUAAUCGGAAUUACUGGGCGUAAAGCGUGCGUAGACGGUUACAUAAGUCGGGUGUGAAAGCCCCGGGCUCAACCUGGGAAUUGCAUCCGAAACUGGCGAGCUAGAGUACGAAAGAGGAUCGCGGAAUUCCCGGUGUAGAGGUGAAAUUCGUAGAUAUCGGGAGGAACACCCGUGGCGAAGGCGGCCAGCUGGGCCGGCCCUGACGCUGAGGCGCGAAGGCGUGGGGAGCGAACGGG
rnacentral:rRNA from 1 species